rnacentral:rRNA from 1 species
UCUGGUUGAUCCUGCCAGUAGUCAUAUGCUUGUCUCAAAGAUUAAGCCAUGCAUGUCUAAGUAUAAAUAGUAUACAGUGAAACUGCGAAUGGCUCAUUAAAACAGUUAUAGUUUAUUUGAUAAUUGACAAUUACAUGGAUAACCGUGGUAAUUCUAGAGCUAAUACAUGCUUAAACGCCCGACUUUAUGGAAGGGUGGUAUUUAUUAGACUGAAGCCAAUAUUCCUUGUGUCUAUUGCGGUGAUUCAUAAUAACUGAUCGAAUCUCUUUUUGAGAUAAAUCAUUCAAGUUUCUGCCCUAUCAGCUUUCGAUGGUAGUGUAUUGGACUACCAUGGCAGUAACGGGUAACGAAGAAUUAGGGUUCGAUUUCGGAGAGGGAGCAUGAGAAACGGCUACCACAUCUAAGGAAGGCAGCAGGCGCGUAAAUUACCCAAUCCUGACUCAGGGAGGUAGUGACAAGAAAUAGCAAACCGGGAACCUCAUGGUUUCACGGUAUUGCAAUGAGAACAAUUUAAAACCCUUAGCGAGAAUCAAGUGGAGGACAAGUCUGGUGCCAGCACCCGCGGUAAUUCCAGCUCCACUAGCGUAUAUUAAAGUUGUUGCAGUUAAAAAGCUCGUAGUUGAACCUCUGUCUGGGGCUAGUUUUGGCUUUGGUCAGGCUAGUUCUAGGCAUCCGCCUACAAGACUUAGAGGGCAUUCAGUUGUUCACUAGGAGGAGUAGGCAUUUUACUUUGAAAAAAUUAGAGUGUUUAAGGCAGGCAAUCGCCCGCAUAUAUUAGCAUGGAAUAAUAGAAUAGGACACUUUUCCAUUUCGUUGGUUAUUGGGAUCGUGUAAUGAUUAAUAGGGACAGUUGUGGGCAUCUGUAUUUAAUUGUCAGAGGUGAAAUUCUUGGAUUUAUUAAAGACAAACUAACGCGAAAGCAUUUGCCAAGGAUGUUUUCAUUAAUCAAGAACGAAAGUUAGGGGAUCAAAGACGAUCAGAUACCGUCCUAGUCUUAACUAUAAACUAUUCCGACUCAAUGUUUGACUGGCUUAUAUAACCAGUUGAGCGUUGUAUGAGAAAUCAAAGUCUUUAGGUUCUGGGGGGAGUAUGGCUGCAAAGCUGAAACUUAAAGGAAUUGACGGAAGAGCACAACCAGGAGUGGAUUCUGCGGCUUAAUUUGACUCAACACGGGGAAACUUACCAGGUUAAAACAAUAGUGGGAUUGACAGUUUGAGAGCGCUUUCUUGAUUGGUUGGGUGGUGGUGCAUGGCCGUUCUUAGUUGGUGGAGUGAUUUGUCUGCUUAAUUGCGUUAACGAACGAGACCUUAACCUGCUUACUAGACUGGCGAUCAUCAAUCGUUAGCUCUUCUUAGAGGGACUUU